AAUUAAACUCCACACAAACUUUUACACACACACACACACACACAGACAAAUGGGUUAACAAUCAUGCGGAAUGGAGGGUAGAUUGUUGUGGUUGUGUGGAUAUAAUUUGCAGGAGCAUCAACAUCGAUGCUCAUUUUGAUGCGUGGAAUGAAACUAGAAACUGAUAAAAACUUCCAAUCUAAGUGUCAGUUCUUGCGGUUCUAGAGCGGUGAGACGGCG
rnacentral:lncRNA from 1 species